AAAAUUUCAUUUAGUGGGCACGUGCCCAAAUCAUGAAGUACAAGGAAAUUCGGGAAAUACAACACAAUAAAGGGAGUUACAUAGAAAUACAGUACAAUACUGGAAAAGGAACUACAGGGAAAUAAAAAUAUUCAGUUGAGUUCGCAGGCAUAUUCCAAAGCAUCUCGAGGUCCUGUUCGCCAAAUCAAAAAGAAAAAUUAGUGAUGUUAAAUGAAAAUGCAAAAUAAACAUGUGCACCCAAAUCUCCAUUAAUUGGAGAAUUAACCGAAUCGCGGGAAUAGGGGAACAAAUUUCUGUUGGAACGAAUUUCUAUUAGAGGGAAAGCCAGCAAUCGUUCUUUGCUGGGAAGGAAAGAAGGAAACUAAACCAACCCUAUAACCAGGGAGUCUCGCACAGACAUUGGGAGGCGAGAAUAGAAGGAAGAGGAUUGUGCAAUUAACACGCAAUCGAGCAAUUGAGAGACACAACUGAGAGAUUGAGAGAAAAGACACAGACUGACAGUAAGAAGUGCAGACAGAGGCAGAAAGGAGUUCCUGAAGUGUUCAAAUUGCAACAACCUCGCAAAGCUCUCACAAGUUGGAGCCAAUCCCUCAAGAAAGCACUUCGUAGUGCUCUCCCAUUCAGAAUCCAAAAGCCAACUCAGAGGUCCCCAGAAGGACCUCUAGAUAGAUACAGACAUAUUCAAAGGCAAGAAAAAAAGACCGGAGGAGUGGAAGAUUGAAGGUGAUCCUGCCAGGCGAGUAGAUCAGGCUCGCAGGUAGUGGGGUUUCAGUACCGCCGUGUCAGUAAAGUAAGUAUUUUUGGGAGUAUUUCUAUAUAGCCCUAGCCUAGUUGAGGGUAUUUUGGGAAACAGUCAUUUAUGUAUAGUUUGGGAACAUUGUAGCUCUCUGGUAUUGUACAUAUUUAUAUAAGGUAGUGGUAGUGUGAUUUUAG